AAAGCACCCUUUUUGUUGUAGAUUCUACAUAGCACCCAAUCGUCCAGCUGCAAAAUCCCAUGUAAAGAGUGUCAUUUAGAUGUUCCAUCUAGUAAUUCAUCGGAUGGCAACCGUUCAUUUAUGGGGGUCCACUGAUUGAACGGUUCUGAUCCGUCGAGGUCCUAAUCACUAAAAAGGAGAGUGAUAGGUUCAGAUCCCCUGAA